rnacentral:rRNA from 1 species
CACGCAGGCGGAUAAUUAAGUGAGAUGUGAAAUCCCCGAGCUUAACUUGGGAAUUGCAUUUCAUACUGGUUAUCUAGAGUCUUGUAGAGAGGGGUAGAAUUCCACGUGUAGCGGUGAAAUGCGUAGAGAUGUGGAGGAAUACCGGAGGCGAAGGCGGCCCCUUGGACAAAGACUGACGCUGAGGAGCGAAAGCGUGGGGAGCAAACA